GAAAUGCGAUAAGUAAUGUGAAUUGCAGAAUUCAGUGAAUCAUCGAAUCUUUGAACGCACAUUGCGCCCGCCAGUAUUCUGGCGGGCAUGCCUGUUCGAGCGUCAUUACAACCCUCAGGCCCCCGGGCCUGGCGUUGGGUAUCGGCGGAAGCCCCCUGCGGGCACAACGCCGUCCCCCAAAUACAGUGGCGGUCCCGCCGCAGCUUCCAUUGCGUAGUAGCUAACACCUCGCAACUGGAGAGCGGCGCGGCCACGCCGUAAAACACCCAACUUCUGAAUGUUGACCUCGAAUCAGGUAGGAAUACCCGCUGAACUUAAGC
rnacentral:misc_RNA from 1 species